CAGAAGGCAUACAUAUCAGUGUCUCCCACAGGUUUAAAAUGGAGCCUUGCUGCUGAGCCAAGGACAGAAGCAAAUUCAUAGUGAUAAAUUUGACCUCUCCCCCUAGGAAAAACUAGGUGAUCCCAGAAACAAAAUGCUACCUAGCACUGCAAUCCAUACUGCUACAUCUGCCAUCACUGCCUACUUCCCAGAAACAGCAGUUAACAAUUGUUUUUGCGCUUCCUCUGUUAUCCAUGCACAGGUCUACUUGUGUUUUAAACAUCUAGACCUGAAUGGAUGUAUCUGUUUUAACGGCCUGUACUGAAUAACUAAUCGUAUCAUGUUAUUAGAAUAUUUCAGCAAAGUAUUUCAGCAUGGACCCAGUUUGAAGAAGUUAUUCCACCAGUGUAUUUUGGCUGGGUUUGUUGUUGAUGCUUAUUUCAUCUGAUGAGUUGCACAUAACAUAUACAGGGUUUGUAUGGUCAUGAAAAACCUGAAAAAGUUAUGGAAUUUGAAAAUGGAAAAGUCCUGGGAAUUUGCUUUACAAAUACCUGUAUAAUAGAGUAUAUGUGGUUCAAUUAAGAUCGACUGAGAAAAAUCUAUAUUGUUUGGGCAGAUCAGUCACAUCAUCAUUUUAUGGAUGUAGCACGGCCAUUCUUAGGUUUUGCGAGCACCGGUGGAUUGAGAAUGUCAGUGUGUCAGAUCAUCGAGAUGGUAGGGCAAGGUGAACUACCAAAUCCAAAAGUGAAGUCAUUUGAGGAGGUGAAGAUCCGUUGUGCUGAUCCUCUUUUUACAUUGAGAGUGGGGAUAAUUAACAGCAUUGCCAGAGAAAUCAACCCCUUCCUUACCAUGUAUCAAGCGGACCAACCAAUACUGCCCUUCUUCUCUGAGGACUUGCACAAACUGAUUAAAGGGGUCAUGAGAUGAUGUCUGAAAAGAAAGCAUCUGCUGAAAGAGGCCACAUCUACACUGAAGCUCCUCCAUGUCCUUUUUCAGGACAGCAGUCCGCACAAGGAUAUUUUUCAGACUGAUAUUGUAUUUGCAGCCGAAGCCACCCUCAGCUCUUACAAAAACACUUCAGAGACUAGAGAUUAAGAUGGACUACAAGAAACUCUUGAUUACACUCCUUGAGAAGCUGCUAAAAAAAAGGCUCCAGUGCAUGACAUUAGUGUGAAGCAUGCAGUGGCUCAACCCAAGAUGCAUGGUUCAAUCUAAGGAGCUAUCCGUAAGUCAAAUGAAAACAACGUUGAACGUACUUGUUAGUGCUAAACACAUAGUUCAGACAAUGUGUGAUGAUAUCCUCAGGGAGUUUAGUGGUUUGGCUGCUCUUUAAAUUCGGGGAAUAUGACCACAAAACAGAUCGAGUAGACACCUUGCUUUAUGAAACAAUUGGAACAGAUCAUUAUUUUCCAGUGUGAUGGAUGUGGUGAAGAUUCUGCUUGUUUUGUCUCAUGGCCAAACCGGUGUGUCGAAAGGAUUUUCCAUUUACAAAGAAUUGAUUGAGGAGCAUCAGAAAGAGGUCUGUGGUGGGCAAGAGGCUCACUGUCCUUGUCUAUUCUGUUGGGCGUAUAACCAAGAUACAUAUCACAAAAGAUCUGCUUCUUUCAGCUGUGGGAGCCAAGCUUAAGCACUACUUGGAUGAAGAAAAGAGAAAGAAAUAACAGCAAUCUCUCAACUUAAAGAGGAAGGCCCUCACAGAUGAGCUAGAUUUGAAAAGAAGAGGGCUAGGAUAGGAGGCUGAUAUAUGUGCCCUUGAGAAUUCUGCAGAUGAAUACACUGAAAAGGAAAGAAGCUACAAGCAAACUGACCUUCAUCACCGAAUCCAACAGUUUCUGCCGAACUGCAAAAGAAAAGAAAUCUCUGCUGAUGAAAGGCAUAUUGACGAGGAGCUUGCAGAAAUGAAAAGUGAACUGUGUGGAUUGUUUUUGUGGCAUUCAAACACAGGGAAGGUUAUCUUCUGUUAAGGCCCAGUUAUGUUAAUGGUAAAUAGGAGGCAGAAUUGGUUUCUAUACAGAAUCUUGUAUUCCAAAAGACUGGACACUUUUUUUGUUUAUUUUUCAUUUCGUUAUUUGUUGUUAUUGUACACCGUUUCCUCCUAGUCAUUUAUGAUAAUUAAGGCUAAACAUGGAGUCUUUAGGGUUUGCCACAUUUUUUUUCUGUUAACAUCUUACUGGUCAGGGUUUUCCCUGCAUAAAGAAAUUCCCCCCAAGAGGUUUUAGCCUUUUUAUAUACAGUGGUUUUAGUGAGCGCCAGAGGAAAAUCGCCAGAUAGAAAUGAUCAGAAUUUUUUUUUAAAAAAGCGUUUAAAAUUCUCUCUGAUUGUGUUUUAAUGGCUAUCAAAGAAAUGUUGGGCACUCUUCUCUGCCCUCUCCAGAUCAGGUUUUCUGGGCACUACGUGACGUUCACUUGUUGCCUGUAGUACCCUCCCCUGUAGUUGUUGAUGCCCCAAUCCCAGUCUCCGCAGGGAGAUUGGGACUGUGUGCCUUUCUUGCGGUCAUGUGAAUAGUUGCUUGUCAAAGUCACUUUUAGGGGACCAAUCACAGCCUGGAGUAGGCGGGACAAUAAAAAAAGGUUGAGGCACUACAGCAAACUUUAGAAAUGUUGAACUCAUUCUUUAUGCAUGGUUUUUAUCAUUGACAAUUGUACUUUGCAUAAACAAGACAUUAAAACAACCCACAAAAAUGGAAAUGCUGUUUUGUCCAACUGGAAUUAAUAUUAGGCUUCUAGUGGUAAGCUGUAUAGUAGCCUGUACUAUUAUCUGAAAUUAUCAUGAACAAACUUAACAUUAGCCCUAAUCAAACCUUAACCACAGUGGUGUAGGCUAAUAUUAGAAAAUGGUUUUAUGAGUGAAACAGCUCAAUUAAUAAACUUAUCUACAGGCAGAUUAUUCAAAUAAAGUGUAACCUGUAAAUAUAUUAUCAUACUAACAUUAUAAUUUCUGUAAUAUUUAUUAAUACAGCAAUUUAUACUUUUACUCCUCGAGGUUGUGGAUAUAUUUUGUUUAUGAAAUGGUCUGAAAUAAUAAGAAAAUGCAUAGAUUUAGGUCAUAAGGUAACGCAUUGCCUUUACUGUAUGUGUACAGAUCAUGAUUACUGUUGUGCGAGGUCACCCCCCCAAAGGCCUGUUCUGAGCCAGUAAACACUGCUGGUAUGUCAGCAUCACUCAAAUAAAUGUUUUGGUUUCAAACCG